UGAGAACUGCUCUCAAGUGCUUUCAGCUGCUCUCAGCCCCCUUUUCCUAUUGCACUGAUUGUCCUGGCAGCUCAGCCCUGCCUGUGACCCACAUCCCUUCAGUUCAGCCAUCAGGCCAUGCCCAGUGUGCUGAUGGUGUCUAUAGGCAAGAGUACUUCCAGCAUACCAUCUGAUUGGAGAAGUCUCUAAAAUGUUCUGGUGAAGGUACAUCUCUACUAGUUCUGUCAGCCCGAAGACAGGAAGCACAGCACAAUUAAUCUCUGCACACAUGGAUUCUUCCAUCCCACAAUGGCACUGCUUCUUCAAUACCCUCCCUUUGGAAGGAUCCCUUGGCCACACCACCCUCCAGUGCCUGCACAGUAUGUGCUGAUUACUGGUACCAGUGUUGCUAGUUGGUAAAGCCCAGCUGGCAUUUUUUAACCUUUCUCUUUUGAUUUAUAAAUUGCCAAUAACUAGUGACAAAAACAAAGCUCAACAAAGUUCCACCCAAAAGAAAAGCAUCUUUCCCUGUGGGUUUAAUUCAAGUAACUAACUGCAUGUGGGAAUCACGAGCAAUAUACUAGGUAAUACCACUACUCUUCUGUUCAGUAAAGGUAUGAGACUCAAAGACAGAACCAUUUGGUUCCCAAGCAUGCACUGAAAAAGGAGAGCAAAUGCAUCAAGCCUCAGCUAUAUACACAAACUCAGCCACAGGCUGUGAAAUCAAAGGUUGAGGCAGAAGCAGGGUCUUCUAUUCCUGUUGAGGGAGCCAGGUGUCCAGCUUUUUUGAUAACAUAAAGUCUCCAGCUAU